rnacentral:rRNA from 1 species
GACGAACCGAGAGAACGUUGUUCGGAAUCACUGGGCUUAAAGGGCGCGUAGGCGGGCUGCCGCGUCCGGGGUGAAAGCCCCCCGCUCAACGGGGGAACGGCCUCGGAUACGGGCGAUCUCGAGGGGGGUAGGGGCACCUGGAACUGUGGGUGGAGCGGUGAAAUGCGUUGAUAUCCACAGGAACUCCGGUGGCGAAGGCGAGGUGCUGGACCCCAUCUGACGCUGAGGCGCGAAAGCCAGGGGAGCGAACGGG